AUUGAACGCUGGCGGCAUGCUUUACACAUGCAAGUCGAGCGGCAGCGCGGGGGCAACCCUGGCGGCGAGCGGCGAACGGGUGAGUAAUACAUCGGAACGUACCCAGGAGUGGGGGAUAGCCCGGCGAAAGCCGGAUUAAUACCGCAUACGAUCUUAGGAUGAAAGUGGGGGACCGCAAGGCCUCACGCUUUUGGAGCGGCCGAUGUCCGAUUAGCUAGUUGGUGGGGUAAAGGCCUACCAAGGCGACGAUCGGUAGCUGGUCUGAGAGGAUGAUCAGCCACACUGGGACUGAGACACGGCCCAGACUCCUACGGGAGGCAGCAGUGGGGAAUUUUGGACAAUGGGGGAACCCUGAUCCAGCCAUGCCGCGUGCGGGAAGAAGGCCU
rnacentral:rRNA from 1 species